CCUGCAACUUUACUAGAGUAAUGUGUAUAGGUCUGAUUUAUAUGACUUAAGUGUAUGUUUGGAGGUGGACAGCAGGCACUAGGGGCAGCGCAGAGGUGGACUACAGGGCUAAAGGAAUCAUUUGGCCAAUGAAAUCCAUCCCGUAUUCUCUGAAGUACAUGAGUAUUGUCCUACCUCAAACCUAUGCAUCAGAUGCUCUUCAUGGAUCUUUUACCAAGGCUCUACCGUCCAUGAGCACAGGAUCGUCCAGAAGUCUAGAGCACAUUUUUUUCCACAUAAGGCUCCACAAGCCCAUCACCCAAUC